GAGGGUAUAGCUCAGUGGUAAGAGUGUGUGCUUAGAAUGCAUGAGAUCCUGGGUUCAGUUCCCAGGAACUCCA
rnacentral:tRNA from 1 species